GGAGGUCUGCUAGAGCUGCAGGUGUCACCACGCUGAGCGGACAGUAUGUCAAAAUAGAGAACGUCAAGGACCCAUAUGUCCAGGGUGUCGGCGAAUGGGCUGUCAAGGAGCACAACAGGCAGACUGGCGAGAGCUUGGAGUUCGCCGAGGUGGUCAGUGGCAUG